rnacentral:lncRNA from 1 species
UAGAUAAGUGGAAUGAAAUUACUACUGAACUUACCUGUUAUAGGCAACAAAUUGAUGCUCCAUAAAAAAAGAUGGACAUCAAUGUCUUAUGUUUGUUUCUAUCCCCGUUUGUUUUUUACAUAAAGUCUGUGGUCUUGAAUGUUCAUGCAAAUGAAACCUAUAAAAAUCCCAUGUAGUGACGUCCUAACACUUACAGUCUCGCUUGGCUGAGUAAUGUGGUUGAAUAUAAAUGUAGCUAGGUAUACAUAGCACAACAUGAGCAAACAAGUAGCCGGCCGGCAUGGCAGGACCGACUGCCAGACGUUCAUUUGUUUUUUUAUUAUUCCUUUAACACAAGUUUACAUCACUAGACGGGAGAAAAUGAGAUUUUUUCAAUUACCGCGUUCUGUUGGUUAAAUAAAUGAAUGUAGUAACGAGUGUGUCAGCGCCGCCCGCCAGUCUGUCGUCUGGGGUGCGAUUCACUAAGAAAAAACAUCUUUACAACCAAGAAAUCAUCGUUGUAACAUCAGAUGUAAACUCGGCGGUAUUCAUUAGUUAAAAUUGCGCGAUCGUAGCGCCUCAACGAUGUUGACGGCGUGACAUAGAACUAACAUUUGGAGCAAAAUGUAUGAAAAUCGGUAUUCAGCAACACGAAACAUCCUCGCCUGCAACGACAACCUCGCCUUCGCCCUCGAUUUUAUCUGUCAAACCGAAAAGCUUGUAAAUUGUAGAUGUUUUCUUGGAUGAAGGCGAUUAAAAUAUGGCAGUUCGUCUUUCCUGUACUUAUGAUUUUUUUGUUGGAAGAAACUAAUCAUCAAGAUAAUUAAAUAAAUAAAAAGACACGCCUCCGUGAUACGUAAUAUGGAUUUACUAACUACUGAUAAAAACUAUAUUAAGGUUGACUGAAGAACAGAUUAGACAGUUGAAAGAAGAUUUCUCCUUUCCUAACAAAGGCGAAUCGUUAAGGAGGAAUUAGCAACCACACCAAUAUAUUACACUUAAACAAUAUAAUAUAAAUCAUCAUACAGUACAGUGGAUAGGUGCCUAAAACUUACUGGCCAUCAACCUUUUGUAUGUACUGUAAAUUUUUUGGUUAGUGGGAUUUAUGUACCAAAUAAUGCUAUGUGACAUUGCAAGAACAAUAUCUCACGGGCAUCUGCCUCAAGGACUCAACAAUAUACAGUAGAUGCCAUCAACCAUCCAGAUAUUAUUGAUAAGUACGAGGUAAGAAGUGACUGUGACCCGGUUAACAAGCAAGCCAGACUCUAGCAGUGACUUGGACAGUGGACGUCAUGCUAGAAGUUAUUUAAUAAACAAUAAUAUGUGUGACACCUUCUAACAAUACAUAUGUAUUUUAUUACCUGUUACUGUUACAGCCUCUUUUUUAUCGUCCCACUGCUGGGCCAGGCUUCCUCUCACAUGGUUUGAGCAUUGAGCACCACACUUGCUCAAUGCGGGUUGGUGAUUUCAGACUAUAUAGUCCAGGUUUCCUCAAGAUGUUUUCCUUCACCUUUUUAUCAGCCAGUGGCGUCCAAGAUAUACUUGUACAUAAAAACUUAGAAAAGUUGCAUUAUUUUACCGUAUUUUACCUGUGUAUGUUAAAUAGUAUUUUAACAUUACACAAUAGUGUGCAGGUAUCAAAGUAAUUUUUAUAAAAAUACUUUACUUUUCUGUAUCAUUAAUUAAUAAAACAAUAUUUUAAUUCAA